rnacentral:lncRNA from 13 species
GGAAGCAGCUCCUUCAUUUGCAUAGGGUGCACAGCAAGCAAAUAACCCACUUCGGCCUCUUCAUUUGCAUACGGCAUACCCCGAGUAACCAAUGGGAAGCCUCUAGAGGAUAUUUAAACCCCAGGAAAGUCUGUAACCUGGCUCUUGAGCCCUUCGCUUGAGCCGCUCCCACCCUGUGGAGCGUGCUUUCGUUUUCAAUACGUCUCUACUUUUGUUGCUUCAUUCUUUCUGUCAUAUUUAUUGCCGAGGUGAAAUGAGGAAACUGAGGCAGGGUAACGGAGAUAAUCUGAGAAAUGUAGUCAGACGCCUGCUGCUUUCAGCACGAGACUGCUACUGCCCUCCCUACAUGGGCCUGAGGAUUCUGAGGAAGUGCUGGGUGCAGGGGAUUCGACCCAGGGGAACUCCAGCUUCUUGUCCAUUUACAUUCUUUUCUCCUUUGGGGCUGCGGAAAGAUCACGUGUUCCAUUCUGUAGAUGGUACAGGUGAGAAGCAAAGGGAAAUUAAAUUAUAG